GAUGAACGCUGGCGGCGUGCCUAAUACAUGCAAGUCGAGCGAACGGACGAGAAGCUUGCUUGUCUGAUGUUAGCGGCGGACGGGUGAGUAACACGUGGAUAACCUACCUAUAAGACUGGGAUAACUUCGGGAAACCGGAGCUAAUACCGGAUAAUAUUUUGAACCUCAUGGUUCAAAAGUGAAAGACGGUCUUGCUGUCACUUAUAGAUGGAUCCGCGCUGCAUUAGCUAGUUGGUAAGGUAACGGCUUACCAAGGCAACGAUGCAUAGCCGACCUGAGAGGGUGAUCGGCCACACUGGAACUGAGACACGGUCCAGACUCCUACGGGAGGCAGCAGUAGGGAAUCUUCCGCAAUGGGCGAAAGCCUGACGGAGCAACGCCGCGUGAGUGAUGAAGGUCUUCGGAUCGUAAAACUCUGUUAUUAGGGAAGAACAUAUGUGUAAGUAACUGUGCACAUCUUGACGGUACCUAAUCAGAAAGCCACGGCUAACUACGUG
rnacentral:rRNA from 1 species